CUUGCUGGUAGGCGUCGAGCGGCGGACGGGUGAGUAAUACUUAGGAAUCUACCUAGUAGUGGGGGAUAGCUCGGGGAAACUCGAAUUAAUACCGCAUACGACCUACGGGAGAAAGGGGGCAGUUUACUGCUCUCGCUAUUAGAUGAGCCUAAGUCGGAUUAGCUAGAUGGUGGGGUAAAGGCCUACCAUGGCGACGAUCUGUAGCUGGUCUGAGAGGAUGAUCAGCCACACCGGGACUGAGACACGGCCCGGACUCCUACGGGAGGCAGCAGUGGGGAAUAUUGGACAAUGGGGGAAACCCUGAUCCAGCCAUGCCGCGUGUGUGAAGAAGGCCUUUUGGUUGUAAAGCACUUUAAGC
rnacentral:rRNA from 1 species